rnacentral:rRNA from 1 species
CCUACGGGGGGCAGCAGUGAGGAAUAUUGGUCAAUGGGCUUACGCCUGAACCAGCCAAGUCGCGUGAGGGAAGACUGCCCUAUGGGUUGUAAACCUCUUUUGUCAGGGAGCAAUUGGCGCUACGUGUAGCGUUAUCGAGAGUACCUGAAGAAAAAGCAUCGGCUAACUCCGUGCCAGCAGCCGCGGUAAUCCGGAGGAUGCGAGCGUUAUCCGGAUUUAUUGGGUUAAAGGGGUGCGUAGGCGGAAUGCCAAGUCAGCGGUAAAAUCGCGGGGCUCAACCUCGCUCCGCCAUUGAAACUGGCGGUCUUGAGUGGGCGAGAAGUAUGCGGAAUGCGUGGUGUAGCGGUGAAAUGCAUAGAUAUCACGCAGAACUCCGAUUGCGAAGGCAGCAUACCGGCGCCCAACUGACGCUGAAGCACGAAAGCGUGGGUAUCGAACAGGAUUAGAUACCCGUGUAGUC